AACGAACGCUGGCGGCAUGCCUAACACAUGCAAGUCGAACGAGACCUUCGGGUCUAGUGGCGCACGGGUGCGUAACGCGUGGGAAUCUGCCCUUGGUUCGGAAUAACUUCGGGAAACUGAAGCUAAUACCGGAUAAUGACGUAAGUCCAAAGAUUUAUCGCCAAGGGAUGAGCCCGCGUAGGAUUAGCUAGUUGGUGGGGUAAAGGCUCACCAAGGCGACGAUCCUUAGCUGGUCUGAGAGGAUGAUCAGCCACACUGGGACUGAGACACGGCCCAGACUCCUACGGGAGGCAGCAGUGGGGAAUAUUGGACAAUGGGCGAAAGCCUGAUCCAGCAAUGCCGCGUGAGUGAUGAAGGCCUUAGGGUUGUAAAGCUCUUUUACCCGGGAAGAUAAAUGACUGUACCGGGAGAAUAAGCCCCGGCUAACUCCGUGCCAGCAGCCGCGGUAAU
rnacentral:rRNA from 1 species